GAUGAACGCUAGCGGGAGGCCUAACACAUGCCAGCCGAGCGGUAGAACGUAGCUUGCUACUUUUGAGAGCGUCGUACGGGUGCGGAACACGUGUGCAACCUGCCUUUAUCUGGGGAAUAGCCUUUCGAAAGGAAGAUUAUUGUCCCAUAACAUAUUGAUUGUCAUCAAUUAAUAUUUAAAGCUCCGGCGCAUUGAGAUGGGCACGCGCAAGAUUAGCUAGUUGGUGAGGUAACGGCUCACCAAGGCGAUGCUCUUUAAGGGGCCUGAGAGGGUGAUCCCCCACACUGGUACUGGGACACGGACCAGACUCCUACGGGAGGCAGCAGUGAGGAAUAUUGGACAAUGGGAGCAAGCCUGAUCCAGCCAUGCCGCGUGAAGGAUGACGGCCCUAGGGGUUGUAAACUUCUUGUAUACAGGGAUAAACCUACUUGCGUGUAAGUAGCUGAAGGUACUGGAUGAAGAAGCACCGGCUAACUCCGUG
rnacentral:rRNA from 1 species